GAUGAACGCUGGCGGCGUGCCUAAUACAUGCAAGUCGAGCGAACAGACGAGGAGCUUGCUCCUCUGACGUUAGCGGCGGACGGGUGAGUAACACGUGGAUAACCUACCUAUAAGACUGGGAUAACUUCGGGAAACCGGAGCUAAUACCGGAUAAUAUAUUGAACCGCAUGGUUCAAUAGUGAAAGACGGUUUUGCUGUCACUUAUAGAUGGAUCCGCGCCGCAUUAGCUAGUUGGUAAGGUAACGGCUUACCAAGGCAACGAUGCGUAGCCGACCUGAGAGGGUGAUCGGCCACACUGGAACUGAGACACGGUCCAGACUCCUACGGGAGGCAGCAGUAGGGAAUCGUCCGCAAUGGGCGAAAGCAUGACGGAGCAACGCCGCGUGAGUGAUGAAGGUCUUCGGAUCGUAAAACUCUGUUAUUAGGGAAGAACAAAUGUGUAAGUAACUAUGCACGUCUUGACGGUACCUAAUCAGAAAGCCACGGCUAACUACGUG
rnacentral:rRNA from 1 species